CAUGACUGAUGUUAAAAGUCUUACUUUUAAAAUCGGUUGAUGCAUGACCGAUGUUAAAAGUAUAACUUUUAACAUCGGCCAAU
rnacentral:miRNA from 1 species